CCUACGGGAGGCAGCAGUGGGGAAUAUUGGACAAUGGGCGAAAGCCUGAUCCAGCAAUGCCGCGUGAGUGAUGAAGGCCUUAGGGUCGUAAAGCUCUUUUACCAGGGAUGAUAAUGACAGUACCUGGAGAAUAAGCUCCGGCUAACUCCGUGCCAGCAGCCGCGGUAAUACGGAGGGAGCUAGCGUUGUUCGGAAUUACUGGGCGUAAAGCGUGCGUAGGCGGUUAUUCAAGUCAGAGGUGAAAGCCCGGGGCUCAACCCCGGAACGGCCUUUGAAACUAGAUAACUAGAAUCUUGGAGAGGUCAGUGGAAUUCCGAGUGUAGAGGUGAAAUUCGUAGAUAUUCGGAAGAACACCAGUGGCGAAGGCGACUGACUGGACAAGUAUUGACGCUGAGGUACGAAGGCGUGGGGAGCAAACAGGAUUAGAUACCCUGGUAGUCCACGCCGUAAACGAUGAUAACUAGCUGUCCGGACACUUGGUGUUUGGGUGGCGCAGACUACGACAUUAAGUUAUACCGUCCGUCGGGUAGGUACGGUCGCGAAGAAUUAAACGUUAAAGGUAAGUUAGUACGGCGUGAGACGUGCCGACGGACGACGACGAGGGAGUAGG
rnacentral:rRNA from 1 species